rnacentral:lncRNA from 1 species
UGCCUCUAUCCCCUCAUUCGACUGCUUUCUCUCCCUUCUUUGACUCCAUCUAUGAGUUUUCUAUCGAGAUUUUGCUGCCUGUUAUUUUUAUUCUUGUUUAAUUUGCUGCUGUUGUUACUAUCUGGUUAAGUUGUUGGGAUGGCUUUGACUAGAAAAUCUCAAAUUGGAUAGUGCUACCCAUACCUCUUAUCAAGCUUGUGCUUAAGAUUUAAGCACCACUUGU